GAUGAACGCUGGCGGCGUGCCUAAUACAUGCAAGUCGAGCGAACAGACGAGGAGCUUGCUCCUCUGACGUUAGCGGCGGACGGGUGAGUAACACGUGGAUAACCUACCUAUAAGACUGGGAUAACUUCGGGAAACCGGAGCUAAUACCGGAUAAUAUAUUGAACCGCAUGGUUCAAUAGUGAAAGACGGUUUUGCUGUCACUUAUAGAUGGAUCCGCGCCGCAUUAGCUAGUUGGUAAGGUAACGGCUUACCAAGGCAACGAUGCGUAGCCGACCUGAGAGGGUGAUCGGCCACACUGGAACUGAGACACGGUCCAGACUCCUACGGGAGGCAGCAGUAGGGAAUCUUCCGCAAUGGCGAAAGCCUGACGGAGCAACGCCGCGUGAGUGAUGAAGGUCUUCGGAUCGUAAAACUCUGUUAUUAGGGAAGAACAAAUGUGUAAGUAACUAUGCACGUCUUGACGGUACCUAAUCAGAAAGCCACGGCUAACUACGUG
rnacentral:rRNA from 1 species